UACGUAGGGCGCAAGCGUUGUCCGGAAUUAUUGGGCGUAAAGAGCUCGUAGGCGGCUUGUCACGUCGGGUGUGAAAGCCCGGGGCUUAACCCCGGGUCUGCAUUCGAUACGGGCUGGCUAGAGUGUGGUAGGGGAGAUCGGAAUUCCUGGUGUAGGCGGUGGAAUGCGCAGAUAUCAGGAGGAACACCAAUAGCGAAGGCAGCUCGCUGGGACGUUACUGACACUGAGGCGCGAAAGCGUGGGGAGCGAACAGG
rnacentral:rRNA from 1 species